GGGGUCAGGAUGGGUAUUGCCUUUGGAGUUGAACUUGACCAUGGCUCGUUCUUCCAGACGCCUCUUAGCCAGAAUGAUGCUCCGGGCAGGUUCCCGGUGGGGCAGAUGGCGAAGGCGAGGCCAGGCCCACGCUCACUCAGACAUGUGUCGGGUCAGGAGCCGGAAAAGGCUGGCUGAUUGGAAGCCCUGGGGCUGCCGGGGCAGUGGUCCCGUUCAGGGUCUGGUAACCAGAAGGGAACCUUGGGUGCAGGGUCGGCUGUGCAGGCAGUGCUGGGCCAGCCCGACAGCUGGCGUCAGAGUGACCACGUGGAGGGGCCCAGGCUCUGGGGCAGUGGGAGCUUCCACAAUGUGCCAGGGGACUUGGUCGAUGAGGGCUGUGUGGUCAGGGCAGCGGCCGGCUCAGCAUGGGGGGACUGGGGUUCCAAGAAAGCACAUGUGUCAGGGACGCAGCCUCGCUCAGGUCCGCUGAUCCCCAUGGGCUGACCACGGUGCCAGCGUCCAUCCGUGGAGCACAGCCCGCUUGCUUUGCACACCUGGCAGAAUGUUUCCCGAGAAGCUCCUUGGGCCUCUGAGGGCUGUGGCUGACGGAGGAGCACGUAGCACAAACCUUCCAGAGCUUUCCUCCAUGGAGGAAGUGCUCCAUGCUCCUCCUGGUCACGCGUCCAGCUGGAAGCUGGGGGGUUGAGACGGUGCCCAGCGGAGCGUGUGGCCAGGCUUCUGCCGACCAUCCUUCUCACAUGUCCACAUCUGCUGUCCCCCAAAAAUGCCCCUUUGUAACGAUCAGCAUCUGAGGGUGGCUUUCGCCCCAGGGUGGGAGAGUAUUCCAUGAUUCUCGCUGGCGAAACUGGCCGAAUGGCUCUGGUACCGGAGGAAAUGUGAUGUGGGAGGGGCCCAGGGUGGCCGCCACACUGCUGCUCCUUGUCCUGCUCUGACCUGCUGUCAGGGUGGGGGGCCCCCCUGCUCGGAGACGUCGGAGCAGGGGGACACUGAGAGCAUGCUGGGUGACA
rnacentral:lncRNA from 1 species